rnacentral:lncRNA from 1 species
UUGAAAGGCCAAACAAAGUAGUUUUGCUUUCACAACUUAACACACAGCAUCUUCACAACAUGGCAGCGACGGCAACAAUACUACAGUGAGAAUCAAAGUUACGCCUUAUUUCUUUGCUUAAACGGCGGUGUUAUGCAAAUCUUCCCUCAUAAUGAUGUAGACGUGUGGGCGUGUUUGAACGAGGUGUUUUAGGAGGGCGUGAACGAGUCUUAACUUUUAUAAAGAGAAUAUAUCUUUAUAUUAUUAUUUUUUUGCAGGUAAAAAAAAAAUGUAAUGCAGGAUUUUUUCAAGAUUUUUAGAGAAGUAACAGCAUUUGUUUUAAAUAAAAAUGUUCUGAAACAAUGUAGAAAUGUUUACUGACACUUUUUAUUAAUUCAAUGAAUCUUUGAUUUCAAUGAAGCAUUGGUUUCUUAAAAAUUCAUCUUACUGACCCCAACGUUAUAUAAAACCUAUGUAAUAGUUUUACAUUAAAGUACAUAUAAAAAAUUAUGUUGAUUUCUUUCAUUGUUCUGAAAUGUGUUAAUAUGCGAUUCAUAAUGCAUAUAUUCCGUUUUUUUAAUACAUAUAUCUAGGAAAGAGAAAAAGGAUGAAUUCCUAACCAAUAGUGACAAAGAGAAGCAGAGACAAGAUAACACUAACAGAAAGAGAAUGCAAGAGAAGAAAGCGCUGGUUAUGUGAGCGAGCGCUCCGGAGGCAGAGUGAGCGACACUGCCCUGUUCGGUGACAGCACUCGCUGUGGGGCUUCUGUCCCCUCAGACAUUCAGGGGUGAAGGAAAGAGCGGCGAGGGGAAGGGGAGGAAUCACUCCAGGGGUGGCAGCGCUAGAGGAGGGGCGGCGAGGAGCAGUCAUUCCCAUGUGGCUCAGGCCCAUCAGCACAGUCAAAUCAUAAACCGUGAAGCCUUGAAGAGCGUGACUCCAUCCUAACAAUAAUCCUGGAGAUUCUACAGCACAUACUGUGGCUGAUAAGGCCAAUUAGAGCUCAUUUCUACCCAGACCUCGGUGUCAUCCCCUGUUAUUGAACGCUACAGCAGCAGGUGACGAGGUGAGUAAUAUCAGGCAGCUGUAAGCCACCAGGGAGGGGGUCUCGCACAAUUUCUCCCCCCAGAGAGUCGACCCGCUCCCCUAAGCCGCGCCGCAGGCUAUGUUAAAUGUCAGACAUCUCCACAGUAGAAGCCUUAAUAUCAGACAGCGGGACCGGGACAAAAGAUCAACUUGGAGUGCUAUGAAAGGAUAAUAACUAUUGUAGCUAAAAAAGCUUGCUUUUCUGUUCUAAUGAGACGGAGAGCACAGCUUUAAAGCUCACGGUUAAGGCCUAAUUAAUCAUUCUUCGUGGCAGUCUCCUGCGGAUAUCCAUUAGAGUUUUAUUUCAGAAGCCACCAUGCCUUCAAUGGCUCUCCAAUUGUUUUGGAGGGUUUUAUAUUAACCUGAGU